UUUCUCUGUAUGUGCACAGACU
rnacentral:piRNA from 1 species